UACGUAGGGUGCAAGCGUUGUUCGGAAUCACUGGGCGUAAAGGGCGUGUAGGCGGUCCGCUGAGUCUGAUGUGAAAGCCCGGGGCUCACCCCCGGAAGGGCAUUGGAAACUGGCGGACUCGAGUCUCGGAGAGGAAGGUGGAAUUCCUGGUGUAGCGGUGAAAUGCGUAGAUAUCAGGAGGAAUACCGGUGGCGAAGGCGGCCUUCUGGACGAUGACUGACGCUGAGACGCGAAAGCGUGGGGAGCAAACAGG
rnacentral:rRNA from 1 species